GACGAACGCUGGCGGUAUGCUUAACACAUGCAAGUCGAACGAGAAGUUUUUUAUUGAACCUUCGGGGGAUAUAAGAGACAGACAGUGGCGAACGGGUGAGUAACGCGUGGGCAACCUACCUAUCGGAGCGGGAUAGCCUCGAGAAAUCGGGAGUAAAACCGCAUAACACGGAUAUAUCGCAUGAUGAAUCCGUCAAAACUCCGGUGCCAAUAGAUGGGCCCGCGUCUGAUUAGCUAGUUGGUAAGGUAAGGGCUUACCAAGGCAACGAUCAGUAGCCGGUCUGAGAGGGCGAACGGCCACACUGGAACUGAGACACGGUCCAGACUCCUACGGGAGGCAGCAGUGGGGAAUAUUGCGCAAUGGGGGCAACCCUGACGCAGCAAUACCGCGUGAGUGAAGAAGGUUUUCGGAUCGUAAAGCUCUGUUAUUGGGGAAGAAGCAGGACGGUACC
rnacentral:rRNA from 1 species